GACAGAGGUGCCGAGCGUUAGGCGGAAUCACUGGGCUUAAAGCGUGUGUAGGCGGACCGUUAAGUACCUUGUGAAAUCCCACGGCUCAACCGUGGAACUGCUUGGUAUACUGGUCGUCUUGAGCCACUUAGGGGCAGUCGGAACAGACGGUGGAGCGGUGAAAUGCGUAGAUAUCGUUCUGGAACGCCAAAAGGUGAAAAAAACAGAAAC
rnacentral:rRNA from 1 species